GGAAGAUACAAAGAGAGAGAGAGAGAAAGGGAAAAGAGAGAAACAGCGUGAAUCAAUCAAAGAUAUCCUUGGAUAUUUGUUUUUUGUUUCUGUUUGCUAUUAAGAAAAAAAUAUGCCGUUUGCUUUACUGAGGGCAUAUCGGAUCGAUCCCGCACCAUCCAAUCUCCUAUUUCUGCCCCUUACACUGAGGAUCGGGGGAUUGUUAUCAAGGAGUGUGUAACAAGAAACUUCCACUAAACAUUGGUAAUGUAAAAACCAACAGACAACAUAAGAACGCACGAUACUUAUUAAAUGCACGCGAGAUAACUCAUCGUAGUAUGCGUGUUUCCAGGGGGAGAAAAAAUACUUGCAAUUGUACCACAUACAGAUGUUUUGCUUCAAUUCUUUAAAUUCGUAUGGUGGAGUCAAAGCUAUAGCUGCUGACGUUUCAAAAUUUCGUGUUAUUUUACCGGAACAGUUAUUCGAACGUUUGGAGACAAAAUUCGAUUGUAAAAUGCCUAGGAGCGGCUCGAAAAGGCACACCUAUUUAAGCGAAAUAACAACAUCACACAAUACAGACCAAGUUGUCAGAAUGCUACAAACUCAGAAUAGGAGAUAUUUCAAUCGUAUUAUGAAGCGUCUACUACUACGUCCACCUGUCAAACGUAACCAACGCAACAGAAGUAACGGAAGGUAUGCUGUUUCAACACUGCGGGCAACAGUGAAGGAUAUUAAGAAUUGGCAGCACUUUACCCAGCGGAUACUUUUCCGGCCAUUUCCACCGUUAGCAAAAGUUUUCGGUCGAAAAUCUUACCCCCCGCAGAUGUACAGUUAGGGGAAAUAAUCAAUUAUGAGUUCCGGGGUAUAGAUAAAAAGCGUAAAGUAAGGCAUCUUCAGACGCGAACUAUAACGAAAAAGUAUGAUUAUAUGCAUCGUGGAAUAGAAAUGAAUUUUGUAACAUAACAAUCCUGGUUUGUGUCGGUAACAUUGUUUUGGAGAGUUAACGAAGAAGGGCAGUAUAGGCAGGAGGAUCCGAUGACAAAAUCAUCUCGAUGGAGUUGAACAAUAAUAAAUCCAGCUACACGAUAUCAA